CAGUAGCCGCGGUAAAACGUAGGGCGCAAGCGUUAUCCGGAAUUAUUGGGCGUAAAGAGCUCGUAGGCGGUUUGUCGCGUCUGCCGUGAAAGUCCGGGGCUCAACCCCGGAUCUGCGGUGGGUACGGGCAGACUAGAGUGAUGUAGGGGAGACUGGAAUUCCUGGUGUAGCGGUGAAAUGCGCAUAUAUCAGGAGGAACACCGACGGCGAAGGCAGGUCUCUGGGCAUUAACUGACGCUGAGGAGCGAAAGCAUGGGGAGCGAACAGGAUUAGAUACCCCGGUAGUCCCUGUCUCUUAUAC
rnacentral:rRNA from 1 species